rnacentral:rRNA from 1 species
GACGAACGCUGGCGGCGUGCUUAACACAUGCAAGUCGAACGGAAAGGCCCUGCUUUUGUGGGGUGCUCGAGUGGCGAACGGGUGAGUAACACGUGAGUAACCUGCCCUUGACUUUGGGAUAACUUCAGGAAACUGGGGCUAAUACCGGAUAGGAGCUCCUGCUGCAUGGUGGGGGUUGGAAAGUUUCGGCGGUUGGGGCUGGACUCGCGGCUUAUCAGCUUGUUGGUGGGGUAGUGGCUUACCAAGGCUUUGACGGGUAGCCGGCCUGAGAGGGUUACCGGCCUCAUGGGGACUGAGAUACGGCCCAGACUGCUACGGGAGGCAGCAGUGGGGAAUAUUGCACAAUGGGCGGAAGCCUGAUGCAGAAACGCCGCGUGCGGGAUGACGGCCUUCGGGUGGUAAACAGCUGUCGCCUGUGACGAAGCGGGAGUGACGGUAAUGGGUAAAGAAGCACCGGCUAACUACGUG